rnacentral:lncRNA from 1 species
GCCGGAGAAGACAGAGUCGCGACACCUUUCCUCCUCCUUUGUUGCCGCAACUAGUCUUGAGAAACGGUAGGCGUCUCUCUCCUCGGCAAUUCUUGCUUUCUCUCUUUGGCGAUUCUCUCUUUGUUUUUCAUUGCUCCCCUUUGCCUUAUUUUAUUAGAGUUUGAUUUGUCGCUCGAUUGAGCGAGAGGGUUAGUCGUAGAUCGUUUGCGUUUUGCUGUUCGUUCGAUUUCUUCCUGUUGUAGCUCGUCUCGUGUCGUUUUUGGAGGUGCUCUCACUUUCGCCAUCGACGUACGGACCGCUCGUGCUCUCGCUUCCCGUUCUUCUUAACAACAAAUCUGCAAUCUGGGGUUCCCUGCAAUUCUUCUUUCCUCGUGGGUUUCUCCCCCUUUGCGGAAUCGAAGUAGUGGG